UAAGUGACUAAGCGUACACGGUGGAUGCCUUGGCAGUCAGAGGCGAUGAAAGACGUAGUAACUUGCGAUAAGCCCAGAUUAGGUAGUAACAACCAUUUGAGUCUGGGAUUUCUGAAUGGGGAAACCCACUUACAUAAGUAAGUAUCAUUAAUUGAAUACAUAGGUUAAUGAGGCGAACCGGGGGAACUGAAACAUCUAAGUACCCCGAGGAAAAGAAAUCAACCGAGAUUCCGAAAGUAGCGGCGAGCGAAAUUGGACUAGCCCUUAAGCUUUACACGCGUUAGACGAACGGUCUGGAAAGUCCGACGAUACAGGGUGAUAGUCCCGUAGUUGACGACGUGUGUUCAGUGAAAUCGAGUAGGGCGGGACACGUGAUAUCCUGUCUGAAUAUGGGGGGACCAUCCUCCAAGGCUAAAUACUACUGACUGACCGAUAGUGAACCAGUACCGUGAGGGAAAGGCGAAAAGAACCCCUGUGAGGGGAGUGAAAUAGAACCUGAAACCGUGUACGUACAAGCAGUAGGAGCAGGCUUUGUCCUGUGACUGCGUACCUUUUGUAUAAUGGGUCAGCGACUUAUAUUCAGUGGCAAGGUUAACCAUCUAGGGGAGCCGUAGGGAAACCGAGUCUUAACUGGGCGUUCAGUCUCUGGAUAUAGACCCGAAACCAGGUGAUCUAGCCAUGGGCAGGUUGAAGGUUGAGUAACAUCAACUGGAGGACCGAACCGACUAAUGUUGAAAAAUUAGCGGAUGACUUGUGGCUAGGGGUGAAAGGCCAAUCAAACCUGGAGAUAGCUGGUUCUCCCCGAAAGCUAUUUAGGUAGCGCCUCGGACGAAUACUACUGGGGGUAGAGCACUGUUAAGGCUAGGGGGUCAUCCCGACUUACCAACCCUUUGCAAACUCCGAAUACCAGUAAGUACUAUCCGGGAGACACACGGCGGGUGCUAACGUCCGUCGUGGAGAGGGAAACAACCCAGACCGCCAGCUAAGGUCCCAAAUUACUACUAAGUGGGAAACGAUGUGGGAAGGCUCAGACAGCCAGGAUGUUGGCUUAGAAGCAGCCAUCAUUUAAAGAAAGCGUAAUAGCUCACUGGUCGAGUCGGCCUGCGCGGAAGAUGUAACGGGGCUAAGUAGUAAACCGAAGCUGCGGCAAUGUGCUUUUGCACAUUGGGUAGGGGAGCGUUCUGUAAGCGGUUGAAGGUGUGUGGUAACGCAUGCUGGACGUAUCAGAAGUGCGAAUGCUGACAUGAGUAACGAUAAAGGGGGUGAAAAACCUCCUCGCCGGAAGACCAAGGGUUCCUGUCCAACGUUAAUCGGGGCAGGGUAAGUCGACCCCUAAGGCGAGGCCGAAAGGCGUAGUCGAUGGGAAACGGGUUAAUAUUCCCGUACUUCUUACAAUUGCGAUGGGGGGACGGAGAAGGCUAGGUGGGCCUGGCGACGGUUGUCCAGGUUCAAGUGCGUAGGCUUAAGAGUUAGGUAAAUCCGGCUCUUUUUAAGGCUGAGACACGACGUCGAGCACCUACGGGUGUGAAGUCAUUGAUGCCAUGCUUCCAGGAAAAGCCUCUAAGCUUCAGAUUGUAAGGAAUCGUACCCCAAACCGACACAGGUGGUCGGGUAGAGAAUACCAAGGCGCUUGAGAGAACUCGGGUGAAGGAACUAGGCAAAAUGGUACCGUAACUUCGGGAGAAGGUACGCUCUCGACGGUGAAGUCCCUCGCGGAUGGAGCUAUUGAGAGUCGCAGAUACCAGGUGGCUGCAACUGUUUAUUAAAAACACAGCACUGUGCAAAAUCGUAAGAUGACGUAUACGGUGUGACGCCUGCCCGGUGCCGGAAGGUUAAUUGAUGGGGUUAGACUUCGGUCGAAGCUCUUGAUCGAAGCCCCGGUAAACGGCGGCCGUAACUAUAACGGUCCUAAGGUAGCGAAAUUCCUUGUCGGGUAAGUUCCGACCUGCACGAAUGGCGUAAUGAUGGCCACGCUGUCUCCACCCGAGACUCAGUGAAAUUGAAAUCGCUGUGAAGAUGCAGUGUACCCGCGGCUAGACGGAAAGACCCCGUGAACCUUUACUACAGCUUGGCACUGAACAUUGACCCUACAUGUGUAGGAUAGGUGGGAGGCUUUGAAGCACGUACGCCAGUAUGUGUGGAGCCGUCCUUGAAAUACCACCCUUGUAGUGUUGAUGUUCUAACGUUGACCCCUUAUCGGGGUUGCGGACAGUGCCUGGUGGGUAGUUUGACUGGGGCGGUCUCCUCCCAAAGAGUAACGGAGGAGCACGAAGGUGGGCUAAUCACGGUUGGACAUCGUGAGGUUAGUGCAAUGGCAUAAGCCCGCUUGACUGCGAGAAUGACAAUUCGAGCAGGUGCGAAAGCAGGUCAUAGUGAUCCGGUGGUUCUGAAUGGAAGGGCCAUCGCUCAACGGAUAAAAGGUACUCCGGGGAUAACAGGCUGAUACCGCCCAAGAGUUCAUAUCGACGGCGGUGUUUGGCACCUCGAUGUCGGCUCAUCACAUCCUGGGGCUGAAGUCGGUCCCAAGGGUAUGGCUGUUCGCCAUUUAAAGUGGUACGCGAGCUGGGUUUAGAACGUCGUGAGACAGUUCGGUCCCUAUCUGCCGUGGGCGUUGGAAGAUUGAAGGGGGCUGCUCCUAGUACGAGAGGACCGGAGUGGACGAACCUCUGGUGUUCGGGUUGUGUCGCCAGACGCAUUGCCCGGUAGCUAAGUUCGGAAUCGAUAACCGCUGAAAGCAUCUAAGCGGGAAGCGAGCCCUGAGAUGAGUCUUCCCUGAUACUUUAAGUAUCCUAAAGGGUUGUCGGAGACUACGACGUUGAUAGGUCAGGUGUGUAAGUGCUGUGAGGCAUUGAGCUAACUGAUACUAAUUGCCCGUGAGGCUUAACCA
rnacentral:rRNA from 1 species